rnacentral:rRNA from 1 species
GCUGAACGCCGCCCACUCUGUGGGAUCAGUGGCGAACGGGUGAGUAACACGUGACCUACCUGCCCCUGACUCUGGGAUAAGCGCUGGAAACGGCGUCUAAUACUGGAUACGAGUAGCGGCCGCAUGGUCAGUUACUGGAAAGAUUUUUUGGUUGGGGAUGGGCUCGCGGCCUAUCAGCUUGUUGGUGAGGUAAUGGCUCACCAAGGCGUCGACGGGUAGCCGGCCUGAGAGGGUGACCGGCCACACUGGGACUGAGACACGGCCCAGACUCCUACGGGAGGCAGCAGUGGGGAAUAUUGCACAAUGGGCGGAAGCCUGAUGCAGCAACGCCGCGUGAGGGAUGACGGCCUUCGGGUUGUAAACCUCUUUUAGCAGGGAAGAAGCGAAAGUGACGGUACCUGCAGAAAAAGCGCCGGCUAACUACGUGCCAGCAGCCGCGGUAAUACGUAGGGCGCAAGCGUUAUCCGGAAUUAUUGGGCGUAAAGAGCUCGUAGGCGGUUUGUCGCGUCUGCUGUGAAAUCCCGAGGCUCAACCUCGGGCCUGCAGUGGGUACGGGCAGACUAGAGUGCGGUAGGGGAGAUUGGAAUUCCUGGUGUAGCGGUGGAAUGCGCAGAUAUCAGGAGGAACACCGAUGGCGAAGGCAGAUCUCUGGGCCGUAACUGACGCUGAGGAGCGAAAGGGUGGGGAGCAAACAGGCUUAGAUACCCUGGUAGUCCACCCCGUAAACGUUGGGAACUAGUUGUGGGGUCCAUUCCACGGAUUCCGUGACGCAGCUAACGCAUUAAGUUCCCCGCCUGGGGAGUACGGCCGCAAGGCUAAAACUCAAAGGAAUUGACGGGG